rnacentral:rRNA from 1 species
UGCAAGUCGAGCGGACAGAUGGGAGCUUGCUCCCUGAUGUUAGCGGCGGACGGGUGAGUAACACGUGGGUAACCUGCCUGUAAGACUGGGAUAACUCCGGGAAACCGGGGCUAAUACCGGAUGGUUGUUUGAACCGCAUGGUUCAAACAUAAAAGGUGGCUUCGGCUACCACUUACAGAUGGACCCGCGGCGCAUUAGCUAGUUGGUGAGGUAACGGCUCACCAAGGCAACGAUGCGUAGCCGACCUGAGAGGGUGAUCGGCCACACUGGGACUGAGACACGGCCCAGACUCCUACGGGAGGCAGCAGUAGGGAAUCUUCCGCAAUGGACGAAAGUCUGACGGAGCAACGCCGCGUGAGUGAUGAAGGUUUUCGGAUCGUAAAGCUCUGUUGUUAGGGAAGAACAAGUACCGUUCGAAUAGGGCGGUACCUUGACGGUACCUAACCAGAAAGCCACGGCUAACUACGUGCCAGCAGCCGCGGUAAUACGUAGGUGGCAAGCGUUGUCCGGAAUUAUUGGGCGUAAAGGGCUCGCAGGCGGUUUCUUAAGUCUGAUGUGAAAGCCCCCGGCUCAACCGGGGAGGGUCAUUGGAAACUGGGGAACUUGAGUGCAGAAGAGGAGAGUGGAAUUCCACGUGUAGCGGUGAAAUGCGUAGAGAUGUGGAGGAACACCAGUGGCGAAGGCGACUCUCUGGUCUGUAACUGACGCUGAGGAGCGAAAGCGUGGGGAGCGAACAGGAUUAGAUACCCUGGUAGUCCACGCCGUAAACGAUGAGUGCUAAGUGUUAGGGGGUUUCCGCCCCUUAGUGCUGCAGCUAACGCAUUAAGCACUCCGCCUGGGGAGUACGGUCGCAAGACUGAAACUCAAAGGAAUUGACGGGGGCCCGCACAAGCGGUGGAGCAUGUGGUUUAAUUCGAAGCAACGCGAAGAACCUUACCAGGUCUUGACAUCCUCUGACAAUCCUAGAGAUAGGACGUCCCCUUCGGGGGCAGAGUGACAGGUGGUGCAUGGUUGUCGUCAGCUCGUGUCGUGAGAUGUUGGGUUAAGUCCCGCAACGAGCGCAACCCUUGAUCUUAGUUGCCAGCAUUCAGUUGGGCACUCUAAGGUGACUGCCGGUGACAAACCGGAGGAAGGUGGGGAUGACGUCAAAUCAUCAUGCCCCUUAUGACCUGGGCUACACACGUGCUACAAUGGACAGAACAAAGGGCAGCGAAACCGCGAGGUUAAGCCAAUCCCACAAAUCUGUUCUCAGUUCGGAUCGCAGUCUGCAACUCGACUGCGUGAAGCCGGAAUCGCUAGUAAUCGCGGAUCAGC